GACGAACGCUGGCGGCGUGCUUAACACAUGCAAGUCGAACGGAAAGGCCCUGCUUUUGUGGGGUGCUCGAGUGGCGAACGGGUGAGUAACACGUGAGUAACCUGCCCUUGACUUUGGGAUAACUUCAGGAAACUGGGGCUAAUACAGGAUAGGAGCCCCUGCUGCAUGGUGGGGGUUGGAAAGUUUCGGCGGUUGGGGAUGGACUCGCGGCUUAUCAGCUUGUUGGUGGGGUAGUGGCUUACCAAGGCUUUGACGGGUAGCCGGCCUGGGAGGGUGACCGGCCACAUGGGUACUGAGGUACGGAGCAGACUGCUACGGGAGGCAGCAGGGGGGAAUAUUGCACAAUGGGCGGAAGCCUGAUGCAGCAACGUCGCGUGCGGGAUGACGGCCUUCUGGGUGUAAACCGCUGUCGCCUGUGACGAAGCGUGAGUGACGGUAAUGGGUAAAUAAGCACCGGCUAACUACGUG
rnacentral:rRNA from 1 species